rnacentral:rRNA from 1 species
AGUGAACGCUGGCGGUAGGCCUAACACAUGCAAGUCGAACGGCAGCACAGUAAGAGCUUGCUCUUACGGGUGGCGAGUGGCGGACGGGUGAGGAAUACAUCGGAAUCUACUUUUUCGUGGGGGAUAACGUAGGGAAACUUACGCUAAUACCGCAUACGACCUACGGGUGAAAGCAGGGGAUCUUCGGACCUUGCGCGAUUGAAUGAGCCGAUGUCGGAUUAGCUAGUUGGCGGGGUAAAGGCCCACCAAGGCGACGAUCCGUAGCUGGUCUGAGAGGAUGAUCAGCCACACUGGAACUGAGACACGGUCCAGACUCCUACGGGAGGCAGAAGUGGGGAAUAUUGGACAAUGGGCGCAAGCCUGAUCCAGCCAUACCGCGUGGGUGAAGAAGGCCUUCGGGUUUUAAAGCCCUUUUGUUGGGAAAGAAAAGCAGCAGGUUAAUACCCCGCUGUUCUGGCGGUACCCAAAGAAUAAGCACCGGCUAACUUCGUG